GGGCGGGUAGCUCAGCCGGUUAGAGCAGGGGGCUCAUAACCCCACGGUCCCAGGUUCGAAUCCUGGCCCGCCCACAA
rnacentral:tRNA from 1 species